GCGGCUGUAGCUCAGUGGAUAGAGUAUCGGCCUCCGAAGCCGAGGGCCGUGGGUUCAAUUCCCGCCAGCCGCACCA
rnacentral:tRNA from 1 species